CAAAAAGAUAAGAAAAUCUUUGGGACCAAGGCAACACCAAAAGCAUGACGCGUAAAAGGAAAAAUUGAUAAAUUGGACCUUACUAAAAUUAAAAAUUUUACUCUGUGAAAGAUCCUGUUAAGAGAAUGAAAGGCUACAGUGAGGGAGAAAAUAUCUGCAAACCACACAAUCAACAAUCUACGUUAGCGAGAAUAUAUACAGAACUAAAUCUCAUCAGUUAAUAAACAAGUCAUGUGACUUGAAAGAGGCAAAAGACAGGAACAGACAUUUCAUCAAAGAAGAUACACAGAUGGGAAAUAAACUCACAAAAAUAUGUUCAUUACUUAUCAGGGAAAUGCAAAUUAAAAGUGACAAUACACAAUCAUUGUGCCCCUAGCAGAAUGGCUAAGAUAAAAAUGGUGAUGGCACCAGUGCUGGAGAAGAUGCUGAGAAACUGGAUCACUCAUAUAUUGCUGCUGGAAUGCAAAGGGGUAAACCUCCUUGGAAUGUACACCGUUUAUAAAGCGUACACCGUUUAUAAAGUAUACGGUAGUGCACAGCAAUGUCCUAGACCUUCACAUUCACUCGCCACUGACUCACUCAGAGCAACUUCCAGUCCCGCAAGCUCUUUCCAUGGUAAAUGCCCUAGGCAGGUGUGCAAUUAAAAAAAAAUCUUUUAUGCCAUAUUUUUACUGUACUUUUUCUACGUUUAUUUAUAUUUAGAUACACAAAUACCAUUGUGUUCCUACAAUAUUCAGUACAGCAACAUGCUGGACAGGUUUGUAGUCUAGGAGCAAUAGACUAUCCUAUAUAGCAUAGGUGUGUAGUAGGCUGUACUAUCUAGGUUUGUGUAACAAUCUCUAUGGUGUUCACACAAUGACAAAAUCACCCAGUGAUGCCUUUCUUAGAAUGUAUUCCUGUCAGCCGGGCACGGUGGCUCAUGCCUGUAAUCCCAGCACUUUGGGAGGCCUAGGCGGGUGUAUCACGAGGUCAGGAGAUCAAGACCAUUUUGGCUAACACGGUGAAACUCCGUCUCUACUAAAAAUACAAAAAAAUUAGCCAGGUGUGGUGUUACGUGCCUGUAGUCCCAGCUAUUUGGAGGCUGAGGCAGGAGAAUCACUUGAACCAGGGAGGCAGAUGUUGCAGUGAGCUGAGAGCAUGCCACUGCACUCCAGCCUGUGUGACAGUGCAAGACUCCAUCUCUCUCUCUCUCUCCCUCUCUCUGUCUCUCUCUCUCUAUAUAUAUAUAUGUGUGUGUGUGUGUGUGUAUAUGUAUCUGUCAUUAAGUGAUACAUGAUUGUACUUGUAUACCAUGAAUUACUGCCAAGAAACACAAAGAAAGAAAUUAUUGAUAUAUGCAACAAUUUGGGUGGAUCUUAAAGGAAUUCUGUUGAGUGAAAAAUGUGAAUUCCAACAGCUUAUGCAUGGCUCCAUUUAUAUAAAAUUCUUGAUAUCAUAGUAUUAUAUUACUGGAGAGUAGAUUGAUGGUUUCCAAGAGUUAAGGACGGCAUUGGAAGGAGAAUGGGUGGGCGGUGGGUGUGGGUAUAAAGAGUCAACAUCAGCACCUUUGUAGCUAUGGAACCGCUUUGUGUCUUGACUGGUGGUGGGCACAUGAAACUACUCAUGUGAUAAAAUCACACAGAACUAAAUAUACACAUGCACACAAAUAACUAAAAGUACAACUGGAGAAUCUGAGUAAGCUUGGUGAAUUGCAUCAACAUCAGUAUCCUUCUUGUGAUAUUGUGCUACAGUUUUGCAAGAUGUUACCACUGGAAGAACUGGGUAAAGGAUCCACGGGAUCGGUCCAUGUUUAUCAAUCUGCCAUGUCUCAAAAUAAAACGGAUUUUAAAAAUACAGCAAAUGAGAAGUAAAUUGGAUAUUUUCACGUGUGUGCUUUAAAUUCUUCAGUGGUCAGCUAUCUACGAAAGUGCAGUUCGGAUCUCCCAGUGAGCAGGCUUGCUGCAGGAAGUGUCGUUGUCUGAUGGCCUCCAGCUGUGGUACCUUCCUGCACUGCUUCAGUUUUCCGGCUGGGACCACCUGCGUUCUAGCAUUGCCUGCCAGUGACUGAGUCCUGGGGUGCUGGGAUGGUGAACCAUUCCUGCCACAACAGGUUCCUCCAUGGGUGAUGUUUGUCCUGACCCCUGGGGGCUGGCCCAGGUUUUCUCAGAGCUGAGCUUCAGUCUGAGGCUCUUUCUACCUCCUCUGCAGCCAGGUGCAUCCUAACUUUGUCACCUACAGGUAGAUUUUUCUCAAUAAAUAGUUUACACUUGAAAUGCUGUCUGGUGCUUGCUUCCUGGAGGACCCCAUGGACACAGAUUGCUCCUAAUUGCUCUCAGGCUGUGCUCACAGACCACCCACAAAAUAUCUAGAAGGCCAUGGUGGCAACCCCUGACUGCUCCAGCUUCUAGAGCCCGGUUUCUUUCUCUAUCGCCUGAACUUUCUCUUGGUCCCUUGUGUUUAAGCCCCUUCCAUGGUUGGGCGUGCACACUCGACACUUCCUUCUCCUGGGAAGCUCUGCUUCUCUCCUGGUGCCUUCUGUUGCUCAUCCACAUGAGCCCAAAUGUCCCUGGGCAGACUCCUCUUUCCUGAUCCCUCAGACCAGACCAAGCUGUCUGCUUUUCUCGUCCACUGGCCGCGGCUUGUCUGUGUAAUUACUGAGUCGCCCAGUGCACCAAAAACCAAGACAUUGUCUGGUUGUUUUGUGGAUUGCUUAGUCCCCGCCACCCAGCCCAGUGUCUGGCACGUGGCCGGGACUUGGUGGUGUUGAUUGAAUGAAUGGACACGUUGAGUUAAGCCGAAGAGGAAGGUACUGCUUUUCUAACCUGUAUUUUCUUAAUUUCACCAAUAAUUUUGUGCAACGCCUUUUAUUUAUGGAAAUCCUUUUAUUUAGGGAAACAUGUAGGGCAUUAGUACCUUUGCAUUUCAUGUCCUUAUACCUUUAUGGGUCUUGUCUAUGCUAUAAAAUGCAGUUCACUCCCAGCAUUACUUGAAGCGCCUCUGUGUUCCCUGGGGUCCACUUACUGCAAUAUCUUCAGUCUGAUGCUGAUUUGCUAAUCAAAGGCUUCACUUCUUCCUGUAACCCUCUCUUGAAAUCAAAAGGGAAAGGUCAUUCCAGAAAGCUGGUUUCUCAUCCUUAACAAACAAUUCUCAUAAAAUGCUAAUUAAGUGAUAAAUCCAGCGGAC
rnacentral:lncRNA from 1 species